CGGCCGCCUUGGCAGCUGGGAAGGGGGUUCAGCAUUUGCUCGUGACUGGAGAAGGGGCCCGGUACCCUCAGAGUGGACCGCCCUCCUUUGGAUAGCAGAAGCAGGUAUAGUCUGACUCUGCCAGUCCCCGCAUUAAGGUAGGUGUGAGCCCUUUCCCAGCCUGCGAGGGCGAUUUGGGGGGCUUUGGCCUGGCGCCCAGGGAGGGCGGGCACCCCAAACCCGCUAGUCUGGUUCUUCGGCCCCUCCCCCACACAGAUGUGUGGGACUGUGUGAAAUCGGCUGCCUGCUGGGCCUGCUUGGUCCAUCCAUCCCCGCCUGUCAGCUUCUGUUGUCAGGAGUUUGGGGCGUGCAAUUCUCUGCCGUAUUUAGCAGCAUAGGAGAGGCUGCACUUACGAAAGUAUUUCCCAGUCGUGUGUUUUGUGGUGGGGGAGGGCCCUGGAUGCCUCUUCUGAAAGGCACAGUCGGCUGCCAGGAAACCGGACCCGGCGCUGGCCCUCCCUUCCGGCCCGCACUGGCGGUGUGUGGGGUGAUUGUAUGAAGCUGGCCCCUUCCUUUCUAAUGUCUGGCUGCUAGGGAGGUGAAGAACAGAAGGACUUGAGAUCUGGGCCAGUUUUCUUUAAGAAAGAGGUUUCUUGACUCGUCUCCUUCCAGGAAAUUCCCACGAUUCCAUCUCACCCAGCCCCCUCCCCCUCAAAGCCCUGUUUCUAGAAUUGGACAAACCCGAAUUUGAAACCUGGCUAGCCGUUUUACCUGCUGUGACCUUGUGUAAGCAGCGCAGUCUCUCAGCCCCAGUUUCCCCAUCCGAACAAAUGGGUCAGUGAUUGUCAAAGUGUGCAUCCGAUCACACGGGUGGCUCAUUAAAAUACUCCGAGACCCCAUCCUUGAGUUUCUGAUUCAGUUGGUGGGGCCUGAGAACUCUCAUUUCUAAUAAAAUUCCCAGGUUUUGCUCAUGGCUGCCUGGUGGAGACACAUUCUGAGAACCUUUGUGCCGGGUAACACCUUGGGGUGUUGAAAGGACCUGAACUUGUGCACUUGAAGCCCCGACCUCAUUUCUUGGUGCAGAGUCAAGGGCUUCGUAGUAAUGGCAACUCUCAUUUUCCUAACACAGGCUGAUUGUAAGGGGUCUCCUGUCCUCUUGAUCUCCAGGAAGCUCCACAGCUGGAGAUAGUGUGACCCUUGAUCUCUGACCCCUCCCCCAUGUGAGCUCUAGUUUGUGAUUACUUUGAUGAACCAUUUGGGUCCCUGCUGAUUGCACAGCCUCCCCCCUUUUGGGUUCAGGCUUCCCAGUCUGAUCGGCUCUGUUCACUUUUAUCCCAUCCCUCAGUGUAGGGGCUGGAUUGAGGAUUGGAGGAGCCUUAGGGCUUGCCCAGAGAUUCUGUUGGGGCAGUGUUGGUGUUUCAUCAAGGGAAGCUGUAGGUCAGGCAGCUGUGGGCUUGACUCUCCAGGGUGCUAGUGACCUUGGGCGAGUCUCCUGUGUAAAGUGAUGAUAAUGAAGCCUGCUGUAAAGGGUGGAGGGCAGAUUAAGUGCGAUUAAGGGGUGCCGGCCUCACGUUCUGGCUUCACAUUAGUUGGCCUUCAUUCCUAGGUGGCUGGGCCAUCUGUAGGCUCCUCCCCAACUUGCCCACCCCACAGCAUGUGGCGAAGCCUCUGGGCAAAGGGGAAGACUGACUUUCUGCCGGCUGGGAGCCAGCACUGUUUUUCCUCCAGUGUGUGAGUUGGGGUUGUGGCCCUUCCUCAAGUCCACAGGCUGUUCCAUAAUGGGUCCUGAUUUAGGGGUGUGCCCCCCCACCCCGGCAACUGGGAGAGUAGAAGUGACUCAUUCAAGGUCAGGAGGCCACCACGGGCAGUCAGAAUGAGGUUCCAGGUGUCUUGACUUCCAGCCCAGCGCCUGUGUCCGUGGCACCCCCUCGCCCCAGCUGUCUGGGUUAUUUUGGUCUCCUGCCCAUGCCAGCUGUCUGCUGGCAUCACUGCCCAGGAGCCGGCAAAGCUGUCUGGUUGAAAGUAGCCAGCAUGGUACUCGUAGUUCCUUCUGGCUGCCGAGUCUUGACCACAUGAGGAUCUUAUCCCAGAUAAGCUGGAUUUGGUCCAUCCUGUCCUUUGCUCGGGUGAAGGGGGUGCAGUUGACUACACUGGGCACUAGACUCCCUUUCCCCUACCCAGAGUGAGCACUUUGUAAAAGCUGGUGAGGCUCAGAUUAUUAAUACCCUAUACUAUGAGCCUCUUCCCACGUACACACUUGUCCCAGUCCUAAGGUUUAGAUUCUGCUCUGCCAUUGAUGUGUUCAUUCAACUCCCUUCGAUUCUCAGGUGACGUUUCUGCCACCUAAGAGUGUCCUCCAUCCUUUUCUGAUCGAGUCCUUGGGGCUCCGCGGACCAGUGGUCUUUACCUCCCGUGGGCACUGGAUGGUUAAAUAAUUGAAAUCUUUCCCUCUCAGCAGCAGCCUGAAGGGCUACAGCCAGUUCCAGUUCCUCCACACCCGCCCUCGGACCAAUUAGGGAACAAUGAGGCUCUCCCCUGGGUUCGGGGUGUGAUUCUUGGAAAUGGAGGGGUGUCCGGAAGACCUGGAAGGAUUGUACCCCCUUCUCGCUUCUUAGUCUUUUUUUCUACCUCUUGAAUUUGUUUGUCCGCAUGCUGGUAUCACCUCCUAGGUGAAGGGAGGAGCGGGGCAGCCUAUCGUCCUCAGACGGUGGUUCCUGCGCGGGAGGGUGG
ensembl:lncRNA